rnacentral:rRNA from 1 species
UGGGGAAUUUUGGACAAUGGGGGAAACCCUAAUCCAGCCAUUCCGCGUGAGUGAAGAAGGCCUUCGGGUUGUAAAGCUCUUUCGGCAGGAACGAAACGGUUUGGGCUAAUACCCCAGACUACUGACGGUACCUGAAGAAGAAGCACCGGCUAACUACGUGCCAGCAGCCGCGGUAAUACGUAGGGUGCGAGCGUUAAUCGGAUUUACUGGGCGUAAAGCAUGCGCAGGCGGCGGUUCAAGUCAGGUGUGAAAUCCCCGAGCUUAACUUGGGAAUUGCGCUUGAAACUAGAUCGCUAGAGUACGGCAGAGGGGGGUAGAAUUCCACGUGUAGCAGUGAAAUGCGUAGAGAUGUGGAGGAACACCGAUGGCGAAGGCAGCCCCCUGGGCCUGUACUGACGCUCAUGCAUGAAAGCGUGGGGAGCAAACAGGAUUAGAUACCCCAGUAGUCCCUGAGCGGGCUGGCAAGGCGCAU